rnacentral:rRNA from 1 species
UACGUAGGUGGCGAGCGUUGUCCGGAUUUAUUGGGUUUAAAGGGUGCGUAGGCGGCUUUUUAAGUCAGUGGUGAAAUACUCCAGCUUAACUGGAGGGGUGCCAUUGAUACUGCGGAGCUUGAGUACAGAUGAGGUAGGCGGAAUUGACGGUGUAGCGGUGAAAUGCAUAGAUAUCGUCAAGAACACCGAUAGCGAAGGCAGCUUACUGGGCUGUAACUGACGCUGAUGCACGAAAGUGUGGGGAUCAAACAGG